UCCAUUACUGAUGGAUAGGAGCUCCCUCUGGCUGUCCCUGGGAGCAGCCACAGCCAUUCCCACUUCUCGCUGCUCCUUCCUCAGGGUUCCUGCAGCAUUUCUAGCAGAUUGCUGGUUGCUUGUCAGUUCCCAUGCGAAGCCCCCUUUCCCCUCUGGGGCUGUCUUCCAGACUACCCUCAGCUAGCUACACUUGGCAGCAAUUUCACCUUAGCAGGAACUGGCUGGAGAAGUGUCUGCAUCACCCUGUGCAGGCUCAUGCAGGCUUGAUGCUUUUGGACCCCCCCCCCUUUUAAGCCCCCGACCUGUGUUGUGGGGUAUUAAUGUGUGGUCCUUGUAGAGCUAAGGAAAGCUUCUUUGGACCACUCUUCCUCUGAGCCUGGGUGUCUAGCAUGGGGGGGAGGGCAUUUUCUUGGGGCAGUGAUGCCAUCUGGCAGAGUGAGCCAGGCCCUAGUGAAGCCUAUAUCCAACUUGACAUGGAUAGGUUGAAGCUCUGGACUCAGCUGGGAUUUGUCUCCCAAGGCAACCCUGUCGACCUGCCAAUGUUAUGCUGACACCUGCCUCACCGAGGACAAAUAUACAACUGGAAACACUUGCUGCCAUGCUUCCAAUCUCCACAGCUAACAACACAAAUUGGCUUGGAUCAUUACUUUAACCUUUCACACGCUAAGGGAACUGACAGUUGGUGGCAAUGUCAGUUGGACUGUACCCCUCACCAUGGGAAUAUGCAGGUGCUGGAGGGCAUUGGAGAGGAGGUGGUACAGCCCUCCGAACCUACACUCAACUUUAAGGGUCCUUGGGGUGGACUAAAGCCCUUAGAAAGUUCACUCUGUUUUUUGUUUGUUUGUUUGUUUUUUCAUUUGGCACCAGUUCCCGGAGCAGUGCUGUCACUGAGAUGAGCACAUCUGGAUGACUGACUCUGUCCAUUACGCAGUGCUGUGAGUUGGUUAACUUUAAACUCCAUGGCCAUCUUGAGUCUCAUCCGAUCCAAGAAAGAGCAUCUUUCCUCAGAGACAUUUCAAUUGCAGGCUGCCAAGAAGUCUGUGCUCCAAAAUUGACCAAACUCUGUUUCUUGGAUUCAACCUCUAGCAAAGAAUUCUCCUUUGGCCUCUGUCUUUCUGAAGCAGAUGAACAGAAACUAGCCAACCAACAAAACAAAGUAUUUUAUGUUGACUUCAGCCUUCCUCAUACCGCCCAGGGUUGUGCUUGUGCUUACUUUGUUCCUGUGGGAAAUCUCACAGAUCUUACUCUCCAGGAGUGAGAAUCUUGGGAUAAUGGUAUCUCUAAAAUAAGGGAAAUGACUCCCUUCUCUUUCAUUUGGGGGCUCUGCCCUGUGAGGGAGUGUUAUGUGUCACAGAUAUCAUGUAUUGCCUUGUGUUUAUCCUGACUGGGGACAUGCUGCUAUGCUUACAACCUCUACGGCUAACAACGCAGGUUGGCCUUGAUGAGCACUUCAACCUUUAACUCGAUAAGGGAACUGACUGGUGGAGGCAGUUGGGCUGUUCCACUCACCACUGGAAUGGAUCCAUCAGACUACAUGUUGCAAUAAGAAUUGGAGAUUGUCACUUCCACCUGCAGUGCAAUGCAAAGUUUGGCCUCCCUGUCCAGCAUCUGUCAUCUGGUAGGAUCCCUUCCCUUGCAAAGAGGACCUGUCACACCCUAAAUAAUGAGGAGUCAAUUAAUAAAGGUGAGGAAACUGUUGGAGAAAAUCCCUAACCCUUCUACCACCAGGAUGGAUAGAUGCCUGCAGGUGCACAGUGACAGAUCUUACCAAAAACAGAGCAGCUGCAGCUGGUGAAGCAUCACUUCUGGGCUCAAGAAACUAGCUCAGGUGGGUGGAAUCACAUUGUAAUGCAGGUUCAUGACAAGAAGUAUGGCUGCAGAACUUUUGGAUGCAAAAGGCCACAUUCCUAGAUCUGUGUGCCGAGCUUGCCAGACCUCCUGAGAGGGACACCAGAAUGAGAGCUGCACUGACAGUGGAGAAGUGAGUGGCGAUCGCACUAUGGGAAGCUGCAAUAUCAGAUUGCUACUGAGUCAAGCAUUCUGUGAGUGUGGACAGGUCAACCCUGAAGGCAACAAAAGCAGAAGCUACUGAUAAAGAUAGACAGAAGUAUCGUGGGAUUUACAGUCACAAGGGAAGGGGAAAAAAAGAAGCUUCAAAACUUCCUUCCCUUUUUCUCAUGAAACUUUUAAUAAGAUACUCUUAUUGACACUUCAGUUUUGGAUUAUCUCUGCACAGGACUCCAGUACCUGCCAGGGUGAGUAUGGCCUGCCAGGGCAGGAGGGGAGAAAUUUCAGUUGCAUGAAACAAUAUAAUUUCAGCCCCUAUUCCAUGGGCACAAGUAUAAGCCAAUGCUGCUGAACACUGGCACAAGUUUUCACAGGUAGUGGUGGUUUUAGCUAAAGUCUCACUCCUGAGAGUAACAAAAGGCACAGAAAGCACAGCUGUUACUGGUGUCCUGAAGCUGCCCAAAGCUGUAUGCUACUAGACUGUUCGCUGCAAUGAUGCCAGCUGAAUUCAUUGCAGAGUGGCAUGGGAAAGUGUCCUACCACAGAGGAAGAAAUGAGGCCGCUGUUCCUAGAAACCUUCAGGAGCGGAUUGCAGAGUAUCGGUCUGAAAGUUGCACCAAGAUCUCUCAAGAGAUUACACAGAUAAACAAACUGCUCUUCAUGCACCACCUAACCCAACAGGGGAAUGAAAAGCAGCUGCCAACUCCACCUCUUUUUUGUACUGCUACCUCUU